rnacentral:rRNA from 1 species
GACGAACGCUGGCGGCGUGCUUAACACAUGCAAGUCGAACGCUGAAGCUCAGCUUGCUGGGUGGAUGAGUGGCGAACGGGUGAGUAACACGUGAGUAACCUGCCCUCUUCUUUGGGAUAACGCCCGGAAACGGGUGCUAAUACUGGAUAUUCACUGAUUCUCGCAUGGGGGUUGGUGGAAAGGUUUUUUCUGGUGGGGGAUGGGCUCGCGGCCUAUCAGCUUGUUGGUGGGGUGAUGGCCUACCAAGGCUUUGACGGGUAGCCGGCCUGAGAGGGUGACCGGUCACAUUGGGACUGAGAUACGGCCCAGAAUACUACGGGAGGCAGCAGUGGGGAAUAUUGCACAAUGGGCGAAAGCCUGAUGCAGCGACGCCGCGUGAGGGAUGGAGGCCUUCGGGUUGGAAACCUCUUUCGCUCAUGGUCAAGCCGCAGCUUUGGGUUGUGGUGAGGGUAGUGGGUAAAGAAGCGCCGGCUAACUACGUG